AUUGAACGCUGGCGGCAGGCCUAACACAUGCAAGUCGAACGAGUGGCGGACGGGUUAGUAAUGUCUGGGCAACUGCCCGAUGGAGGGGGUUAACUACUGGAAACGGUAGCUAAUACCGCAUUCCAUCGGAUGUGUCCAGAUGGGAUUAGCUAGUAGGUGGGGUAAAGGAUCACCAAGGCGACGAUCCGUAACUGGUUUGAGAGGACGACCAGCCACACUGGAACUGAGACACGGCCCAGACUCCUACGGGAGGCAGCAGUGGGGAAUGUUGGACAAUGGGGGAAAGCCUGAUCCAGCCAUCCCGCGUGUGCGAUGAAGGCCUUCGGGUUGUAAAGCACUUUAAGCAGGAAAGCGGUACCUGCAGAAUAAGCACCGGCUAACUACGUGCCAGCAGCCGCGGUAAUAC
rnacentral:rRNA from 1 species